rnacentral:misc_RNA from 1 species
AGGGAUGAACCCUAGCGAGGGUGAACGCGCGGCCGUAGCUGCGGUGGCGUGCCGUAGGUGGUGGCCACCGCACUGGAAUCCAUGGGCAGACGCCUGCCGCGUGGCCGAGUGUGAUAUGACGCAUUGGCGCUCGCGCGCGGCGAGGCUGCCAGCCCUGGCCCGUCUGUCGGGCGGGGGAGAGCAAGACACG